rfam:Daphnia magna strain Xinb3 scaffold01581, whole genome shotgun sequence.
ACCCCGGCCCUUUUCAGGGCCACCAAACUUCAUGAAAAUGAAUUAU